rnacentral:snRNA from 13 species
GUUCUUUUCAGUUUAAUCUCUGAAACGUCACUACGGUGACAUUCUAUGAUUAUACUUAUUUUUGGACCUACGCCGGUGGCCGCUGAGCUUGCUCAUGUCACUGACGACCGUGUCGCCAGUAUUGCACUGCCUCUGGCUGACGCGA